UUGAUUGUUUUUUAACAGGAUUAACUGAAUUUUGAAGCAAGGCUCUGCGAGUAUUUGAUGUCAGGUAUUUUCUGUUGUGAACUCUAAAUUCAAACUGAACGUUAAAUUUACACUUCAACUUUCCUACAAGUUUCAAGGCUAUAGAAAUUGCAAUUUUUAUUUUUGAUAUCGACCACUCCAAAAAUGAAUUGUUCGCCAAAAAUAUGUGCACUUCAAGCCGUCGACCAGGAAAAGAAUAUUAAAAAAGGAAUGUCAGGUGCAGUUAUAUGGAGAAUUUCAAGUUGCAAAUGUUAACAGCUAUAGUUAAGAAGAUUGCUGACUGCGAAACUUAGAGUGCCAAAAUAAGCAAUAAAGAUGAAUGCACAGUGCAUAUAUAAAGCAAAUUUAUGAUCCUCAGUCUGGUUUCAAUUACAAAGUGAAAACUCAGUCAAAUGUGGUGGUGUAAAGAAGUAUUUUGUUUGUUUGAAGCCUUACUGUGUCUGGUGGCAGUUG